AGUGGCGGACGGGUGAGUAACGCGUGAGAAUCUGCCUUGGGGUCGGGGACAACCACUGGAAACGGUGGCUAAUACCGGAUAAGCCGAUUGGUGAAAGAUUUAUUGCCCGAAGAGGAGCUCGCGUCUGAUUAGCUAGUUGGUGAGGUAAGAGCUCACCAAGGCAGCGAUCAGUAGCUGGUCUGAGAGGACGAUCAGCCACACUGGGACUGAGACACGGCCCAGACUCCUACGGGAGGCAGCAGUGGGGAAUUUUCCGCAAUGGGCGAAAGCCUGACGGAGCAAGACCGCGUGAGGGAGGAAGGCUCUUGGGUUGUAAGCCUCUUUUCUCAGGGAAGAAGCUCUGACGGUACCUGAGGAAUCAGCCUCGGCUAACUCCGUGCCAGCAGCCGCGGUAAUACGGAGGAGGCAAGCGUUAUCCGGAAUUAUUGGGCGUAAAGCGUCCGCAGGUGGCGAUUCAAGUCUGCUGUCAAAGCACGGGGCUUAACUCCGUAAAGGCAGUGGAAACUGAAUAGCUAGAGUGCCGUAGGGGUAGAGGGAAUUCCCGGUGUAGCGGUGAAAUGCGUAGAGAUCGGGAAGAACAUCGGUGGCGAAAGCGCUCUACUGGACGGCAACUGACACUCAGGGACGAAAGCUAGGGGAGCGAAUGGGAUUAGAUACCCC
rnacentral:rRNA from 1 species